rnacentral:rRNA from 1 species
CGGCGUGCUUCAUACAUGCAAGUCGAACGAGAAAUCACUCGGUGGUGGAAGUGGCGACGGGUGAGUAAUAUGUAGAGAAUCUGCCCUAGAGAUGGGGACAACAGUUGGAAACGACUGCUAAUACCCAAUAUGAGCGUAGCUGAGAUGCUAUUCUUGAAAACUCCGGUGCUCUGGGAUGAGUCUGCAUCUGAUUAGCUAGUUGGCGGUGUAAUGGACCACCAAGGCGACGAUCAGUAGCUGGUUUGAGAGGAUGAUCAGCCACAAUGGGACUGAGACACGGUCCAUACUCCUACGGGAGGCAGCAGUAGGGAAUUUUGCGCAAUGGGCGAAAGCCUGACGCCAGCAACGCCGCGUGAUUGAUGAAGCCCUUCGGGGUGUAAAGAUCUGUCAGUGGGGACGAAACUUGACGGUACCCACAGAGGAAGCACCGGCUAACUCCGUGCCAGCCGCGGC